rnacentral:lncRNA from 1 species
UUUUUUUUUAUUUUUUUUUUAUUUUAAGGCCGCACUUGUGGCAUAUGGAGGUUCCCAGGCUAGGGGUCUCUCUAGAAUGAACUAUUUGAUUUGAAGCCUAGGCAUCUUUGGAUGUGGCUUCCUUCCUGAACUACCCUUUCAUCUUUCCUCACUUAAACCACUUGCAAAUGCACUGUCUUGUUACCUUCUGUUUAUCCCUGUCACUCAAAGAACCAGGAUAUCAGGCACCCAGAAGAGAGAACAAAUUAUUUACUCCACCAGCUACUUAGGCAACCCCCAAGCAUUAGCGAAAAUAUCUUUUUCUCACUGUAUGCGCUAUGGAGACUUCAACAGGCAUCAGUGUGGAAGAGAUGAAACAAUUCCCACCUACUGAGGGGAAAGAACACAGAGCAUAGCGUCGUCUUGGUUUCCUCCAUGACAUGAUACAUGUUGGUCACCAUAAUGCCCCAGCUCAGUUAGGAGUUAGAAUCCAAAAGCAUCCCCACGAGGCAGCAGAGUGAGAAUGACCCAGGCUGACCCAUUUCAACAUGCAGAGUAGACGCACGGAAAGGCUUGGCUAGUUCAGUACACACUACCAUCCCCGUGAGAAGGCUGAGACGUUCUCACCCCAGAGGUAGGCUUCCUGGGGCUGUGGGAAAUGAUGAACUGUCUUAGGCUCUUACAGCACUGAGGGGAGAGAGUGUAAAAACCAGGGGAGAACGGAGAAGGUUCUUUUAAAGUGAUGAAGAUUAACAUGGAGGAGGACAGAAAUCAAGACAGGAAAGGAAGGAGAAGGUGCUGUGAUGUGAUAGGCCAAGGAUCUCUGCUGUCAACAUUCUAAAAUCUUUCCUAUCAGUUUUUUUGUUUUAUUUCUAUGUCCACAGAUUGGUUCCCUCAACUCCAUUCCAGUUCCAUGCUGUCAUGCAUGCCCAGCUGGAAAGCUAAGCUAGAAAGCUAGAGGUCACUUCCUCAGCUCCCUGACAGCCAGACUUUGGCACAGAAUCUGGCUCUGGCCAAGCAGACGCACUGACAUGACGUUAAGUCGGAGUUAAAACACACUAGGGUGGAGGCCGGGCGGCUGCUGUGGUCUCUGCUGUUUUUACUUGCAGAAUCAGUCAGGGGAAAGUCUGACUUUUCUGCACCACAGAUCAGAAAGUCCAAUUCCUGCUUUCGUGAGUGUCACAAGCCAGGGCAGGUAUCCAUUUAACCACUGUGAGUCACGGCAGGGACAAUGUGAUCCCAGAGCUGCAGCUGUGAGGUGGUUCCUGAAUGGGGCACGAACUACAGUAUUCCCAGCUGUCCAGCCACCUCUUGCAAUGGGCAGCCCCUCCCCCAAACAGAAACAGGUUCGUUCAUGCAGCAACAAAUAAACUCCCACUGCACAUUUUCACCUCUUUGUUACAGAAGCUAGGGCUCACCUUAACCUAGAAAGAAUCCAACAAAUAUUUAUUGAAUGAAUUUUGAAGAGGGAGAGGGAGAUGAAAGAAGAAAGAGGGAGGGAAAGCUGGAAAGAAUUGGAAAACGAUGGACAGAUAGAUGGAGACCGAGAUUAUUUUAAAGAAUUUAUGGGAUAAAUACUUUCCUGAAGUUUAGAAUUAUAACUACUUUAAUUAAUAAUAAUAUAUUUGAAUUUCUUUUCUAUUGAUUUUUCUGAAUGAGAGAAACACUUGUCCAAAAUGCCCAUCCUAUAGAAACUUAUAUUCUAACAUACCCCACAUUUUUUUUUUUUGUCUUUUCAAGGCCUCACCCAUGGCAUAUGGAGCGGCCCUAGAAAAGCCAAAAAAAAAAAAGCUCAUUUGUUCAAAUGUCUGCCUUGAUCCAAAGAUUUCUUUCUCAGGAAAAUUCUGGUGUUGCCUAAGGACACUCCUUUCGGUGUAAAGCGUUCAUCUAUGAGAGCUGUCUAGGAUGCUCAUCUUUAAUGGCAGAAUACCAACUUUAUCACGAUCUGUUUAUCAGGCACCCCAAAACCAAAAACCAGCUCUCCAUUACUAACUCUAUGAUACGCUCUCAAUGAGUAUGAUCUCAAUUUUUUUUGUCAUCCAAAUUCUACCGAAAGUCUUAUUAAGGAAAGCUAGGGUUUGAGAAAAAGGGCUCUAAAGAAAUAGCCCUCUUUUUUUUCCUCCCAUAAUCCCAAAAGGAGUUCCUAAAAUUUUUCAACACACUUGUUCAUCUGACCUUCAAAAUUUUUCACUUUAAGCUUGAACAGCUGUAAAGGUGUAAUUUCCGGUAUGUUGCAAAUAUUCUCAUUUUUAACACAACUGCACAUCUCUCUUUUAAGAGUACCAAAGGAAUCUGAAUUUCACAGCCAUUUGAUAUAAACCCUCACCUGUUUUCAAAAUACAGCAUUUAAUAGCAAGGAAAUUUACAGGGUUCACAUUUUUGUUUGAAUUCAUUAUAUCUCACUUCCACAUAGAGUUUUACCCUUAUAUAAUACAUUAUUUCUGAAAGUUUUUAUUGACCACCCUAUCAUAUCUACAAUAAAAUAUUUCUUAAAAUCUUACAAAUAAACUUUUUAUUUCCUAGGACUGUAAAGUUCAAACUAAAAAUAUAAAGAAAUGGAUGGGGCUAGAUUUUUUUUUUAAUUGUUCAUAGGUCUCUGAAUAUUACUUAUUGCUAGCAUAAGAUUACAAAUCAAUUUUCUAUCCUUUUCUCUUUUUAUGAAAGGACUGAGAAAACCUUGUUCACUUAAAUAAGUACAGCAUUUUGUUAGAAUAACAAUUAUUAAAAAUCACAAUUAAUCAUACAAAUAUUUUUUAAUAUUCUAUCAUCUGAUAAGUCAAUUACAUCUUCCCACAAGUUUCUCAAAAACAAAAAGCUGGAAACCAUCUGAGUUGCAAAAGAAUGUGUUACCUAGUGUUUAAGUAAUUCACUUUUUCAAUAUCAAUACCAAUAUUUCUAACAGAUCCUCUGCUUGAUGCCAGGGAUAUUUUCCACCCUGGAAAAAUGCACCAUAGUAAGAAGAGGAAUGGGUGAGAGGCCUAUCUGUAUUUCCUCUUGCAACAUCAAAGAGAAGUUGGGAGAGGGGAGUUUGUAAAGGAAAACCUCCUGGAGAGAUGCUUUCUCAGGUAAACCAGUUUCUCAUCCUCCCAAAGCCCAUUCAUAGAAAGGGCAUCUGUCAUACUUCCCAAAGCCCAUUCAUAGAAAGGGCAUCUGUCAUACUUCCCAAAGCUCAUUCAUAGAAAGGGCAUCUGUCAUACUUCCCCAAGCCCAUUCAUAGAAAGCAAUCAUAUGAAGAUCACCUCUGUAAACAUUAGAAAACUACUGUUGGUGGCACAAUCAUCACAGCACUAAGUAUGCUCUCUAGAUCCUUGCUACUCAAAGUAUAGUCCUCAGAACAAAGGCAUCAGUAUCUGCGAUCUUGUUAGAAAUGCACAUUUGGGGGCCUCAUCCCAAAGCUACUAAAUUAGGAUCUGCUUUGACAAAAUCCCCAGGUGAUUUAUAUGUAGAUAAGUAUAUAAACACUGAUGUAAGGGGAUAAAUACUUUUUGAAAUUUUAAUAUAUAGAAACAAUUUAUCUAGAGAAGAAAUAGUGUUUCCUCCUUUCUGAUCAGAAGAAUUAGGUAACCCUCAUGCUUCUAUUUUUGUCCAUCUUAUUAGCACCAAGCAGUUUAUUUUGUAAAACCCUAAGGCUCCAACUAAAUAUACAGGAAACACAUUUCUUCCUCAUUAUCCUGGACUUGCGGAAUGUCCUUCAGUGUAUUCUCCCCACAGCUGUGAAAGUAGAAUCUAGUAACAGAUCUGACCAUGGCAGCCGCCUGCUAAAAAACCCUUCAAGUGUUUCCAACUCAAAAUAAAAUACACGUAUAUUAGGCCAUGAUUAUCAGGCCCCUGUUUCACUCUCUAGCCUCAUCACGUAACCACCUCUCAUUGCCUACCGUAAUUAUCUUUAUAGCUUCCUGCGUACACCAUGUGUGGUAACCAUCCAUUAUGCUGUUCCUUCCUAGAAUACCUUUGCCCUGUUUAUUCUCUGGCUAAUUUGUAUCUGUACUUCCAGGACCAACUCAAGCAUUUUCUCCCCCAGGAAGCUUUCAGGUAUGUGCGUGCAUGCACACACAACAGAUAAAGUUUCUUUUCUUUGUACUCCCCACAGCACUUAUUUUAUAUUCAAUAAUCUGUCUCCUUAAAUAGACAAGAACCUCCUGCAGGGACUAACAAAAUUAAUGGCAUGAAGCAAGUGAUAAAGAUGAAGUCAAAAUGAAUAAAAUGAAAUUUAUUUCUUAAUCAUAGCACUAUAAUAGCUCUUGCAAUUAGCAUAUUUGGUUCUUCCCUGCUCUUGUGUUUUAGUGUUUGUACGUCAUCUGACAGUUUCUGUGUCUUGGAUUUAUCCUUUAAAAAAAAAAAAAAAAUCAACCUCAAUUCCUUUUUUUUCCUAGGCUGGAUGUGAGUACAUAUAAAGAACAUGGCUACCUGACUUUGGCAAAAUUAUAUCAUCUGUCUCAAUUUAUGGUUCCUUUAUAUUAAUUAAAUAAUAACUGCAAAAUCAUAUUAGGUAAGUAUCAAAUUGAGGAUGUGAAUAUGAAAUGUUAUAUAAAUUAUAAACAUUGCAUAUAUAGUAUCAACUUUUGUUAAAAUCAUAUUCAAUAUAGCAAAAAUUCUAGGGGUUACAAUGUUAAAUUAAAAGGAAAUUCCUUAAGAAAUAAGAUAAACUUCACAUGAGCAGGUCCUAAUCUUCAUACUACUGAACUUUUAAAUUUUAAUUCAGUAUCACAUUAAUAUCCUGGAGUGGCCUUUGCACAAUUCUUUAUUUCCUUAGUUUCCUGUAACUUCAAGGAGGAUAUAGAAAAGUUAAGUGAUUAUUUGAAACUGUUCAGCUUCUGAAACACAAUCUGCUGUCAUGAAUAUUUCAUUUAUUGAAAAUACUUCCAUGCUUACCCUUUUCAACAAUCCCACCUCACAAGGUUUUCUCCCUCUGCCUGAGACAGAUAUCAUUACUAAUCCUGUACAGCUGCUCACUUCACCCCGCAUGGAGCCGC